GAUAAACGCUGGCGGCGUGCCUAAUACAUGCAAGUCGAGCGAACGGACGAGAAGCUUGCUUCUCUGAUGUUAGCGGCGGACGGGUGAGUAACACGUGGAUAACCUACCUAUAAGACUGGGAUAACUUCGGGAAACCGGAGCUAAUACCGGAUAAUAUUUUGAACCGCAUGGUUCAAAAGUGAAAGACGGUCUUGCUGUCACUUAUAGAUGGAUCCGCGCUGCAUUAGCUAGUUGGUAAGGUAACGGCUUACCAAGGCAACGAUGCAUAGCCGACCUGAGAGGGUGAUCGGCCACACUGGAACUGAGACACGGUCCAGACUCCUACGGGAGGCAGCAGUAGGGAAUCUUCCGCAAUGGGCGAAAGCCUGACGGAGCAACGCCGCGUGAGUGAUGAAGGUCUUCGGAUCGUAAAACUCUGUUAUUAGGGAAGAACAUAUGUGUAAGUAACUGUGCACAUCUUGACGGUACCUAAUCAGAAAGCCACGGCUAACUACGUGCCAGCAGCCGCGGUAAUACGUAGGUGGCAAGCGUUAUCCGGAAUUAUUGGGCGUAAAGCGCGCGUAGGCGGUUUUUUAAGUCUGAUGUGAAAGCCCACAGCUCAACCGUGGAGGGUCAUUGGAAACUGGAAAACUUGAGUGCAGAAGAGGAAAGUGGAAUUCCAUGUGUAGCGGUGAAAUGCGCAGAGAUAUGGAGGAACACCAGUGGCGAAGGCGACUUUCUGGUCUGUAACUGACGCUGAUGUGCGAAAGCGUGGGGAUCAAACAGGAUUAGAUACCCUGGUAGUCCACGCCGUAAACGAUGAGUGCUAAGUGUUAGGGGGUUUCCGCCCCUUAGUGCUGCAGCUAACGCAUUAAGCACUCCGCCUGGGGAGUACGACCGCAAGGUUGAAACUCAAAGGAAUUGACGGGGACCCGCACAAGCGGUGGAGCAUGUGGUUUAAUUCGAAGCAACGCGAAGAACCUUACCAAAUCUUGACAUCCUUUGACAACUCUAGAGAUAGAGCCUUCCCCUUCGGGGGACAAAGUGACAGGUGGUGCAUGGUUGUCGUCAGCUCGUGUCGUGAGAUGUUGGGUUAAGUCCCGCAACGAGCGCAACCCUUAAGCUUAGUUGCCAUCAUUAAGUUGGGCACUCUAAGUUGACUGCCGGUGACAAACCGGAGGAAGGUGGGGAUGACGUCAAAUCAUCAUGCCCCUUAUGAUUUGGGCUACACACGUGCUACAAUGGACAAUACAAAGGGCAGCGAAACCGCGAGGUCAAGCAAAUCCCAUAAAGUUGUUCUCAGUUCGGAUUGUAGUCUGCAACUCGACUACAUGAAGCUGGAAUCGCUAGUAAUCGUAGAUCAGCAUGCUACGGUGAAUACGUUCCCGGGUCU
rnacentral:rRNA from 1 species